GUCCCUUCGGGACAUCCGAUAAAUUUGGAACGAUACAAAGAAGAUUAAUAUGGUCUCUGCGCAAGGAUGACCAGCAGAGAAUUAAUUUCUAGUUAAUUAAU